GAUGAACGCUGGCGGCGUGCCUAAUACAUGCAAGUCGAGCGAACGGACGAGAAGCUUGCUUCUCUGAUGUUAGCGGCGGACGGGUGAGUAACACGUGGAUAACCUACCUAUAAGACUGGGAUAACUUCGGGAAACCGGAGCUAAUACCGGAUAAUAUUUUGAACCGCAUGGUUCAAAAGUGAAAGACGGUCUUGCUGUCACUUAUAGAUGGAUCCGCGCUGCAUUAGCUAGUUGGUAAGGUAACGGCUUACCAAGGCAACGAUGCAUAGCCGACCUGAGAGGGUGAUCGGCCACACUGGAACUGAGACACGGUCCAGACUCCUACGGGAGGCAGCAGUAGGGAAUCUUCCGCAAUGGGCGAAAGCCUGACGGAGCAACGCCGCGUGAGUGAUGAAGGUCUUCGGAUCGUAAAACUCUGUUAUUAGGGAAGAACAUAUGUGUAAGUAACUGUGCACAUCUGGACGGUACCUAAUCAGAAAGCCACGGCUAACUAC
rnacentral:rRNA from 1 species